AGCGAACGCUGGCGGCAUGCCUAACACAUGCAAGUCGAGCGGGCCUUUCGGGGUCAGCGGCGCACGGGUGAGUAACGCGUGGGAACGUGCCCUCUGGUUCGGAAUAACUCACGGAAACUUGUGCUAAUACCGGAUACGCCCUUUUGGCGAAAGGCUUACUGCCUGAGGAUCGGCCCGCGUCUGAUUAGCUAGUUGGUGAGGUAACGGCUCACCAAGGCGACGAUCAGUAGCUGGUCUGAGAGGAUGAUCAGCCACACUGGGACUGAGACACGGCCCAGACUCCUACGGGAGGCAGCAGUGGGGAAUAUUGGACAAUGGGCGAAAGCCUGAUCCAGCCAUGCCGCGUGAGUGAUGAAGGCCUUAGGGUUGUAAAGCUCUUUUAUCCGGGACGAUAAUGACGGUACCGGAAGAAUAAGCCCCGGCUAACUUCGUG
rnacentral:rRNA from 1 species